rnacentral:rRNA from 1 species
ACUAGAAGCCGACGAAGGACGUUACUAACGACGAUAUGCUUUGGGUAGCUGUAAGUAAGCGUUGAUCCAGAGAUUUCCGAAUGGGGGAACCCAGCACGAGUUAUGUCGUGUUAUCGACAAGUGAAUUCAUAGCUUGUCAGAAGGCAGACCCGGAGAACUGAAACAUCUUAGUACCCGGAGGAAGAGAAAGAAAAAUCGAUUCCCUGAGUAGCGGCGAGCGAAACGGGAAGAGCCCAAACCAAUAAGCUUGCUUAUUGGGGUUGUAGGACACUCUAUACGGAGUUACAAAGGAAUAUAUUAGACGAAUCAUCUGGAAAGUUGAAUCAAAGAAGGUAAUAAUCCUGUAGUUGAAAAUAUAUUCUCUCUUGAGUGGAUCCUGAGUACGACGGAGCACGUGAAAUUCCGUCGGAAUCUGGGAGGACCAUCUCCUAAGGCUAAAUACUCUCUAGUGACCGAUAGUGAACCAGUACCGUGAGGGAAAGGUGAAAAGUACCCCGGAAGGGGAGUGAAAGAGAACUUGAAACCGUGUGCUUACAAGUAGUCAGAGCCCGUUA